rnacentral:rRNA from 1 species
CCUGACUGCUAUCGGAUCGAUACUAAGCCAUGCGAGUCUUUGCAGUAAUGCAAGGCAUACGGCUCAGUAACACGUAGUCAACUUACCCUAUGGACGAGGAUAAUCUCGGGAAACUGAGCAUAAUACUCGAUAGAUCAUAAUGCCUGGAACGGUUUAUGGUUGAAAUGAUUCGUCGCCAUAGGAUGGGACUGCGGCCUAUCAGCUUGUUGGUGAGGUAAUGGCCCACCAAGGCGAUUACAGGUACGGGCUCUGAGAGGAGAAGCCCGGAGAUGGGUACUGAGACAAGGACCCAGGCCCUAUGGGGCGCAGCAGGCGAGAAAACUUUGCAAUGUGCGAAAGCACGACAAGGUUAAUCCGAGUGAUUUCUGCUAAAGGAAUCUUUUGCAAGUCAUAAAACCACUAGUGAAUAAGGGGUGGGCAAGUUCUGGUGUCAGCCGCCGCGGUAAAACCAGCACCUCAAGUGGUCAGGAGGAUUAUUGGGCCUAAAGCAUCCGUAGCCGGCUCUGUAAGUUUUCGGUUAAAUCCAUGUGCUCAACGCAUGGGCUGCCGAAAAUACUGCAUGGCUAGGGAGUGGGAGAGGUAGACGGUACUCGGUAGGAAGGGGUAAAAUCCUUUGAUCUAUCGAUGACCACCUGUGGCGAAGGCGGUCUACCAGAACACGUUCGACGGUGAGGGAUGAAAGCUGGGGGAGCAAACCGGAUUAGAUACCCGGGUAGUCCCAGCUGUAAACGAUGCAGACUCGAUGAUGCAUUGGCAUAUAGCCAGUGCAGUGUCGCAGGGAAGCCGUUAAGUCUGCCGCCUGGGAAGUACGUACGCAAGUAUGAAACUUAAAGGAAUUGGCGGGGGCCCACAACGAGAGGGGUGAAGCCUGCGGUUC